rnacentral:rRNA from 1 species
GAUGAACGCUGGCGGCGUGCCUAAUACAUGCAAGUCGAGCGAACGGACGAGAAGCUUGCUUCUCUGAUGUUAGCGGCGGACGGGUGAGUAACACGUGGAUAACCUACCUAUAAGACUGGGAUAACUUCGGGAAACCGGAGCUAAUACCGGAUAAUAUUUUGAACCGCAUGGUUCAAAAGUGAAAGACGGUCUUGCUGUCACUUAUAGAUGGAUCCGCGCUGCAUUAGCUAGUUGGUAAGGUAACGGCUUACCAAGGCAACGAUGCAUAGCCGACCUGAGAGGUUGAUCGGCCACACUGGAACUGAGACACGGUCCAGACUCCUACGGGAGGCAGCAGUAGGGAAUCUUCCGCAAUGGGCGAAAGCCUGACGGAGCAACGCCGCGUGAGUGAUGAAGGUCUUCGGAUCGUAAAACUCUGUUAUUAGGGAAGAACAUAUGUGUAAGUAAUUGUGCACAUCUUGACGGUACCUAAUCAGAAAGCCACGGCUAACUACGUG